GUCGAGUUGCCCUUGCUCGAGCAGCUAUUGAUGUCGUACCUUACCUCUUCAAGGUAUGAUGAAGAGUAUUGUUCCAAAAAAGUGUAUUACGUGCAACAUGCUUUUAUUUGGGGUGAUCACUAACUAUAAAAGUCGUCGUUUUCAUGUAGUUUAUUGGGAAUUAAUUGCGAGGCCUAGAGAUUUGGGGAGACCAGGCAUCAGGUUGGAUGAAGUUGGGAUAUCAUUUACGAAGUGGUAGUUGUGAGCUUUGUUGUGAGGGAAGUAUGAGCAAAAAAAUUUGUAUGUUGGUUUAUUUGUGAUCAGGCCAAUGAUUUGUGGUGUAACUUGAUGAAAUUAUGGCCAAACAUCGUAUGAAUUUUAAAGCAUGGAAACAUGGUUGGGUGGAGCAUAUAUUUUGGAAUGAUGAGUGUAUUUGUGGAUAUUUCAAGUAUGUGGGAAGUUUUAGUGCUUAUAUGGCUGAGUUUUGGGGUGUGUUAGAAGGUCUUCAAGUGGAU
rnacentral:lncRNA from 1 species